UCUGUAUUUUUCCAUUCCCCCAGCAUGGUUGUCGCGGGUUACAAGCGCCCACUCGUCGAUGGAGAUCUGUGGAAGUUAAACGAUACCGACCAAUCGGAAAACAUCGCAAAACAUUUUCUACGAAACUGGAAUGCAGAGAAAGCAAAAGCUGAACAAUGCAAAGCAGCAAAGUCAACACACAGUCACGUGAAUAGUGACAACAAAGAAGAAGCUGUGUUUAUUAAAGAUCCAAAAAAAAAGAAAUGUGUGAAAGCAUCAUUAGGACUUGCUAUGGUGAAAACAUUUGGACCUUUCUUCCUCAUCAGCUCUGUGCUCAAAAUCUUUUACGAUGUUCUUGCAUUUGUCAGCCCACAACUGCUAAGCUCAUUGAUCACAUUCACAACAGCUGACUACGCUCCUAUGUGGCAAGGCUACUUGCUUGCAGUUGGAAUGUUCUUUACAGCAUUAAUACAAAGUGUGAUCCUACAGCAAUACUUUCAUAUAUGUUUUGUGGUGGGCAUGAGGCUUAGGUCGGCGAUCGUGUCUGCUAUCUACAGAAAGGCAUUACUUUUAUCAAAUGCAGCACGCAAGGAGAGCACAGUUGGAGAAGUUGUAAACUUGAUGUCAGUUGACGCUCAGAGGUUCAUGGACCUCAUGUCAUACCUUAAUGUUGUUUGGUCUGGUCCUUUCCAAAUCAUACUUGCUUUGUAUUUCUUAUGGAAAAUACUUGGACCAUCAGUAUUAGCGGGAUUAGCUGUGAUGAUUCUUCUUAUUCCUGUUAAUGGAUUCAUUGCUGCAAAAGCUAGAGCUCUCCAGGUAAAACAAAUGAAACACAAAGAUGAACGGAUCAAACUCAUGAAUGAGAUCUUGAAUGGAAUUAAAGUGUUGAAGAUGUAUGCAUGGGAGAUGUCAUUUAAAGAUAAGGUUACGGAUAUAAGAAACAAAGAAUUAAAGGAACUGCGGAAAGCUGCUUAUUUAAAUGCUGCAUCCUCAUUCACCUUUGUGUGUGCUCCUUUCCUGGUGUCUUUGACAACCUUUGCAGUGUACGUUCUAUCUGAUGAUCAAAAUGUACUCGACGCACAAAAAGCCUUUGUGUCGUUAUCUCUUUUCAACAUCCUUAGAUUUCCACUCAUGAUGCUGCCAAUGGUUGUCACUUCACUUGUGCAGGCCAGCGUGAGUCUUCAACGACUCGAAUCUUUCCUCAAUAACGAGGAGCUCGACAGAUCCAACGUGGAUCGUAGUUUCAUCUCCGAUGAUGUCAUCCAAGUGGAACAGGGAUCGUUCAAAUGGGAUGGAGAUGAGGAAGAAGAUGUAUUGCACAAUAUUUCUAUGACCGUUCCUGACGGGUCACUAGUGGCAGUAGUGGGUCAGGUAGGAUGUGGAAAGUCCUCGCUUAUGUCGGCUUUGUUGGGAGAUAUGGAGAAAAUUGAUGGAUCUGUUUCUGUUAAGGGAUCUGUAGCUUACGUACCUCAACAACCAUGGAUACAAAACCUAACCGUGCGCGACAACAUUACAUUUGGCAAAUCACUCAACGUAUGCAAGUACCAAGAUACUGUUGAAGCUUGUGAACUUAAAUCUGACUUUGAAAUGUUGCCUGCUGGUGAUCAGACCGAAAUUGGAGAAAGGGGAAUCAAUUUAUCUGGUGGACAAAAACAGAGAGUUGCAAUCGCAAGGGCAGUUUAUCAAGAUGCUGAUAUAUAUUUGUUUGAUGACCCACUGAGUGCCGUAGAUUCUCAUGUUGGUAAGAACAUAUUCGACAACGUACUUGGGCCUCGUGGAUGCUUGAAAAAGAAGACACGAGUGUUGGUCACCCACGGACUUGCUUUCUUACCUCAAGUUGACAAAAUAUUUGUGUUGGUUAAUGGAAGAAUAUCAGAGGUGGGCGAUUAUUACGAGUUGAUUGAAAAAGACGGAGCAUUUGCCGAGUUUCUUCGUAAUUACGCGAUUAAUGAAGAUGAUGAUGAGUAUAAGGAGGGAGAUCCAACAGUUUUAUCGAUGACAUCUGAUAUUUAUUCCAUUCCUGAUAAUGUGGAUGAAGAUUUAGAGUUGAAUGAAAUGCCAGCUGAAGAUGCAAGGAAGAAGUUUGUGAGACAGCAAAGUCGACAGUUAAUGGCCCAACAGCCCGUUGGACCUACAUGUAAGUACAUCCCAUUAAAGAAGAAACUAAAAGAAGAAAAAUCUUGUCAACUUCCACCUGAUAAGAAAGAAGAAAACAAGCUUAUUCAAUCGGAAAAAGCUGAAACCGGCAGUGUUAAACUGUCAGUAUUCAUUUCCUACAUGAACUCCAUCGGAUUUUUUCUUUGUUUCCUCAUCUGUGCCUUCUUCAUCUUACAAAAUGGAGCGCAAAUUUAUUCCAAUAUCUGGCUUUCAGAAUGGAGCAAUGAUCCAUUGAAUCCAGAUGGAACACAGAAUGGAACAGAAAUAAGGUUGGCAGUGUAUGGAGGUUUAGGACUUGUACAAGGUUUAAUUGUGGUUGUUGAAUCAAUCAUAUUAUACGUUGGAGCUCUCGGAGCAUCUCGUGUCCUCCAUGAAACCAUGCUCCAUCAUCUGCUCCUUGCUCCGGUGAGGUUCUUUGAUCAAACUCCGAUUGGAAGGAUCAUAAAUCGAUGCAGCAAAGAUGUGGAUGUGAUGGAUAACUUAUUGAUAAGAAUUAUUUCGAUGUUCCUCAGUUGUUUCUUUAAAGUUCUUGGCACACUGUUUGUUAUAUGUUAUGCCACUCCACUGUUCACUUUUGCACUGUUCCCUAUACUACUGCUGUACUAUGGUGUCCAGCGAUUCUAUGUAUGUACUUCCCGUCAAUUAAAACGACUUGAAUCGAUCAGCAGAUCUCCAAUAUAUUCUCACUUUGGUGAAAGUAUAACAGGCGCCAGCACCAUUAGAGCAUACGGUCUCCAGAAAAGUUUUAUUAAACAGAAUGAAAACCUUGUUGAUGUCAACCAGAUGGCUUACUAUCCAAAUAUUGUGUCAAACAGGUGGUUGGCUCUUCGAUUGGAAUUAGUUGGAAAUUUCAUUGUUUUGUUCGCCGCUAUAUUUGCUGUGGCUGGCAGAGAUACAUUGGAUGCUGGGAUCGUUGGUUUGUCUGUUUCAUAUGCUAUGCAGAUCACCCAAACACUUAACUGGAUGGUUCGUCAAUCAAGCGAGUUGGAAACAAAUAUUGUUGCUGUAGAGAGAGUGCAGGAAUAUUCCAAUGUAGAACAAGAGGCACCGCUAGUUAUUAAGGAUGAGACGCCUGAUAAAGACUGGCCAUCAAUUGGUGGGAUUAAGUUUGAGGAUUACAGCACAAGGUACAGAUCGGAACUCGAUCUCGUGGUCAAAAAUAUCAACGCUGAUAUUAAAGGGGGCGAAAAGAUUGGGAUUGUAGGCAGGACAGGAGCAGGAAAAUCAUCUUUAACAUUAGCUUUGUUCCGAAUCAUUGAAUCUGCUGAUGGAUGUAUCACUAUUGAUGGGAAAAAUAUUUCAAAGAUGGGACUCCAGGACCUCAGAUCAAAGUUAUCCAUCAUACCACAGGAUCCUGUCCUCUUCUCGGGAUCACUCCGGAUGAAUCUUGAUCCAUUUGAUUCUUACUCCGAUGAUGAAUUAUGGGAUGCAUUGGAACAUUCUCAUCUCAAAAACUUUGUUUUAAAUCUUCCUCUUAAACUUGAACAUGAAGUAACUGAGGGAGGGGAGAACCUGAGUGUUGGUCAACGCCAGUUGGUUUGUCUCGCUCGUGCUUUGCUCAGGAAAUCCAAGAUUCUCGUUCUUGAUGAAGCAACUGCUGCAGUUGAUCUUGAAACUGAUGAUCUUAUUCAGGCAACCAUCCGUGUUCAGUUUGCUGAAUGCACAACUUUCACAAUUGCUCACAGACUUAAUACCAUCAUGGAUAGUACAAGGGUUCUUGUAUUGGAUGCUGGAAAGGUUGCUGAGUUUGAUUCUCCAAUCAAUUUACUUAAAUCCAAGGGAAUUUUCUACAGCAUGGCAAAAGACGCUGGAUUAGCGUGAGCGCAAACAACGCGAAACCGGAGUCUUAACUUGUCGAACAAAGGGAUAAUGAUAUCUCCUAAUGUAAAUAGACCCAACCCAUUCUCAGUAUAACAUUUUAACUUGUAUAUAGGUACCUUAGUUCCUUACACAGCUGAUGUAUUCAAAUAGUUCCAUAAUUUAAGGUGCGAUCCAUUAACUUUAAUGUUCCGAGUAGAAUUACAUGUAACUGGUGGUAUGGUAAUAUAGAAUGGUUGCUGCUACACGCUUACACCUCUGUUUAUUAUGUAAAUUAAGUAACCUACCUCACUACUAUCAAAUAACACAAUGAAGCAGUUCCUAUUUUGUUCCACUGCUACAGUUUAAAGUGUUUCGAAUGUGGUGCGAAUGGAACAUUUUUUGAAGACCUUAAUAGUUAAAUGUGCUGGGAUUAGGUGCUCAAUUUCAUUGCUUUUCUUUCUGUGUGUGGGAAUUUGAAUACACCAAGCACAUUGCA